rnacentral:rRNA from 1 species
AACUAACAAGGAUUCCCCUAGUAACGGCGAGUGAAGCGGGAAAAGCUCAAAUUUGUAAUCUGGCGCCUUUGGCGUCCGAGUUGUAAUCUCGAGAAGUAUUUUCCGCGCUGGACCGCACAUAAGUCUGUUGGAAUACAGCGUCAUAGUGGUGAGAACCCCGUAUAGGGUGCGGAUGCCCAGUGCUUUGUGAUAUACUUUCGAAGAGUCGAGUUGUUUGGGAAUGCAGCUCAAAUUGGGUGGUAAAUUCCAUCUAAAGCUAAAUAUUGGCGAGAGACCGAUAGCGAACAAGUACCGUGAGGGAAAGAUGAAAAGCACUUUGGAAAGAGAGUUAACAGUACGUGAAAUUGUUGGAAGGGAAACGCUUGAAGUCAGACUUGCAUUUUGGAGUUCAGCCGCAAGGUGUAUUCUUCAAUUCGCAGGCCAGCAUCAGUUUUGGGGGGUGGAAAAUCGUGGUUUGAAGGUAGCAGUCUCGGCUGUGUUAUAGCUUUCCACUGGAUUCACUUUUCGGGACUGAGGAACGCAGUACGCUUUUUGCAAGAUUCUCGGAUCUUUCGUACUUAGGAUGCUGGUGGAAUGGCUUUAAACGAC